rnacentral:rRNA from 1 species
CGAACGGGUGAGUAACACGUGAGGAACCUGCCCCAGACUCCGGGAUAACAGUGGGAAACCGCUGCUAAUACCGGGUACUCCAUCUCCAUCACAUGUUGGAAAUGGGAAAGAUUUAUCGGUCUGGGAUGGCCUCGCGGCCUAUCAGUUAGUUGGUGGGGUAACGGCCUACCAAGACUACGACGGGUAGCUGGCGUGAGAGCGUGGCCAGCCACACUGGGACUGAGAUACGGCCCAG